rnacentral:misc_RNA from 1 species
CGACCCUCAAGCCCCCGGCUUGGUGUUGGGGGAGCGGCCGGCCCUCGCGCCGCCGCCCCCCAAAACGAAUCGGCGGUCUCGCCGCGGCCUCCUCUGCGCAGUACUGAAUAUCUCGCACCGGAGCGCGGCGCGGCCACGGCCGCAAAACGCCCAACUUUCUCAAG